AGGGCACCACCAGGAGUGGAGCCUGCGGCUUAAUCUGACUCAACACGGGAAAACUCACCCGGCCCGGACACUGGAAGGAUUGACAGAUUGAGAGCUCUUUCUUGAUUCAGUGGGUGGUGGUGCAUGGCCGUUCUUAGUUGGUGGAGUGAUUUGUCUGGUUAAUUCCGAUAACGAACGAGACUCUAGCCUACUAAAUAGAUAGUCGGCUUACAAACGUCGACUAGACUUCUUAGAGGGACAGGCGGUGAUUCAACCGCACGAAACAGAGCAAUAACAGGUCUGUGAUGCCCUUAGAUGUCCGGGGCCGCACGCGCGCUACACUGAAGUGAUCAGCGUGCUUUUUCAGCCUACUCUGUCAAGAGUGGGAAACCCAAUGAACCUUCUUCGUGAUUGGGAUAGGGGAUUGUAAUUAUUCCCCUUGAACGAGGAAUUCCCAGUAAGCGCGAGUCAUAAGCUCGCGUUGAUUACGUCCCUGCCCUUUGUACACACCGCCCGUCGCUACUACCGAUUGAAUGUUUU
rnacentral:rRNA from 1 species